AUUGAGCGCUGGCGGCAGGCCUAACACAUGCAAGUCGAGCGGAUGACGGGAGCUUGCUCCUUGAUUCAGCGGCGGACGGGUGAGUAAUGCCUAGGAAUCUGCCUGGUAGUGGGGGACAACGUUUCGAAAGGAACGCUAAUACCGCAUACGUCCUACGGGAGAAAGCAGGGGACCUUCGGGCCUUGCGCUAUCAGAUGAGCCUAGGUCGGAUUAGCUUGUUGGUGAGGUAAUGGCUCACCAAGGCGACGAUCCGUAACUGGUCUGAGAGGAUGAUCAGUCACACUGGAACUGAGACACGGUCCAGACUCCUACGGGAGGCAGCAGUGGGGAAUAUUGGACAAUGGGCGAAAGCCUGAUCCAGCCAUGCCGCGUGUGUGAAGAAGGUCUUCGGAUUGUAAAGCACUUUAAGUUGGGAGGAAGGGUUGUAGAUUAAUACUCUGCAAUUUUGACGUUACCGACAGAAUAAGCACCGGCUGACUCUGUGCCAGCAGCCGCCGUAACAC
rnacentral:rRNA from 1 species